rnacentral:rRNA from 1 species
GUUGUAUGGUUAAGUGACUAAGCGUACACGGUGGAUGCCUUGGCAGUCAGAGGCGAUGAAAGACGUAAUAACUUGCGAUAAGCCCAGAUUAGGUAGUAAUAACCUUUUGAGUCUGGGAUUUCUGAAUGGGGAAACCCACGUGCAUAAGCACGUAUCCUGUUGUGAAUACAUAGCAGCAGGAGGCAAACCGGGGGAACUGAAACAUCUAAGUACCCCGAGGAAGAGAAAUCAACCGAGAUUCCGAAAGUAGCGGCGAGCGAAAUUGGAUUAGCCCUUAAGCUUUUAAUGAUGCAGGUGAAGCCUCUGGAAAGUGGCGCAGUAAAGGGUGAUAGCCCCGUAACCGACACAUCAUCAUCAGUGAAAUCGAGUAAGGCGGGACACGUGAUAUCCUGUCUGAAUAUGGGGGGACCAUCCUCCAAGGCUAAAUACUCCUGACUGACCGAUAGUGAACCAGUACCGUGAGGGAAAGGCGAAAAGAACCCCUGUGAGGGGAGUGAAAUAGAACCUGAAACCGUGUACGUACAAGCAGUAGGAGCACCUUCGUGGUGUGACUGCGUACCUUUUGUAUAAUGGGUCAGCGACUUAAUUUUAGUAGCAAGGUUAACCGUUUAGGGGAGCCGUAGGGAAACCGAGUCUUAACUGGGCGUACAGUUGCUAGGAUUAGACCCGAAACCAGGUGAUCUAGCCAUGGGCAGGUUGAAGGUUGAGUAACAUCAACUGGAGGACCGAACCGACUAAUGUUGAAAAAUUAGCGGAUGACUUGUGGCUAGGGGUGAAAGGCCAAUCAAACCCGGAGAUAGCUGGUUCUCCCCGAAAGCUAUUUAGGUAGCGCCUCGGACGAAUACUACUGGGGGUAGAGCACUGUUAAGGCUAGGGGGUCAUCCCGACUUACCAACCCUUUGCAAACUCCGAAUACCAGUAAGUACUAUCCGGGAGACACACGGCGGGUGCUAACGUCCGUCGUGGAGAGGGAAACAACCCAGACCGCCAGCUAAGGUCCCAAAGUAUAGCUAAGUGGGAAACGAUGUGGGAAGGCUCAGACAGCCAGGAUGUUGGCUUAGAAGCAGCCAUCAUUUAAAGAAAGCGUAAUAGCUCACUGGUCGAGUCGGCCUGCGCGGAAGAUGUAACGGGGCUAAGCUAUGCACCGAAGCUGCGGCUACGUACCUUAGGGUAUGUGGGGUAGGGGAGCGUUCUGUAAGCCGUUGAAGGUGGUCUGUAAGGGCUGCUGGAGGUAUCAGAAGUGCGAAUGCUGACAUGAGUAACGAUAAAGGGAGUGAAAAACUCCCUCGCCGGAAGACCAAGGGUUCCUGUCCAACGUUAAUCGGGGCAGGGUAAGUCGACCCCUAAGGCGAGGCCGAAAGGCGUAGUCGAUGGGAAACGGGUUAAUAUUCCCGUACUUCUUACAAUUGCGAUGGGGGGACGGAGAAGGCUAGGUGGGCCUGGCGACGGUUGUCCAGGUUCAAGUACGUAGGCGGAAAGUUUAGGUAAAUCCGGACUUUCAUAACGCUGAGAUACGAUGUCGAGCACCUACGGGUGUGAAGUCAUUGAUGCCAUGCUUCCAGGAAAAGCCUCUAAGCUUCAGAUUGUAAGGAAUCGUACCCCAAACCGACACAGGUGGUCGGGUAGAGAAUACCAAGGCGCUUGAGAGAACUCGGGUGAAGGAACUAGGCAAAAUGGUACCGUAACUUCGGGAGAAGGUACGCUCUUAUCAGUGAAGUCCCUUGCGGAUGGAGCAGACGAGAGUCGCAGAUACCAGGUGGCUGCAACUGUUUAUUAAAAACACAGCACUGUGCAAAAUCGUAAGAUGACGUAUACGGUGUGACGCCUGCCCGGUGCCGGAAGGUUAAUUGAUGGGGUUAGUUUUCGGACGAAGCUCUUGAUCGAAGCCCCGGUAAACGGCGGCCGUAAC